rnacentral:rRNA from 1 species
GCUGUCUCUNAUAAUUUAUUUUUGAAUUAACUUUUGAGUNANAGGCUCAAAUUUAUUUUAAAGACGAGAAGACCCUAUAGAGUUUUAUACUGUUAAAAAUUUUAAGAUUUUGGUUAUUUAUUUUUUAAAAUUUUUUUUAGUAUUUGGUUGGGGUGACUAAAAGAUUUGAUAAACUCUUUUAAUUAAAGAUCAUUUAUUUGUGAAUUUAAAAUCUAAUUUUUUUCAAUUUAAUACAAAUUACCUUAGGGAUAACAGCGUAAUUUUUUUUUAGAGUUCUUAUUGAAAAAAAAGUUU